AUUGAACGCUGGCGGCAGGCCUAACACAUGCAAGUCGAGCGAGCGGCGGACGGGUGAGUAAUGUAUGGGGACUGCCCGAUAGAGGGGGAUAACUACUGGAAACGGUGGCUAAUACCGCAUACUAUCGGAUAACCCAUAUGGGAUUAGCUGGUAGGUGGGGGAAAGGCUCACCGAGGCGACGAUCUCUGGCGGGUCUGCGAGGAUGAUCAGCCACGCUGGGACUGAGCCACGUCCCAUACUCCUACGGAGGCAGAAGUGGGGAAUAUUGCACAAUGGGCGCAAGCCUGAUGCGGCCAUGCCGCGUGUAUGAAGAAGGCCUUGGGGUUGUAAGGUACUUUCGGCGGGGAGACGUUAACCGCAGAAGAAGCACCGGCUAACUCCGUGCCAGCCGCCGCGGUAAUAC
rnacentral:rRNA from 1 species